UGGAAACCCCUCAGGUGCUUCGCUGUGGGAGCUGGGAUAGAAAAGGCCUUCGAGCUUCGGGCCGGAACUGCAGUCUCUGUGUUGAUUCGACGUUCUGUGGGCAGGGACGUCGGGGGCGCAGGCGCAGUAGGAAGGGAAGGGAAGGUGCGUUUAGGUCGCCCAAGUACCAAGCUGUCACACUUUUAGGUAUGGAAUUCUCUGAGGUGCUCACAAAACUCAUCCAUCCACAAAGAUCCCUUGCUUCAAAGAAUGGAAAAACUCCAAGCAGAGAAAGGGAGACAUAGGCAGGUGUCUCCACUGAAACUAUAAUGGGGACGGCUACUUGCACAGAAGAGACCUGGAUUCAGUCAAAAUGCAGUGUGUGGCUCAAAACUAUGCACUGUGUCUCAAAACUAAUCUCUACAGCCUUGAAGACUGGAAACUCGCUCAGACACUCCAUGCACCAGGCGCUUGAACUGACGGACCUGGAAAGAUAAGAUCCCCAUCAAAACCACCACCAUGAGCAGAAAAGGAUAAAUUCGACGUUGCACUAGGUUUUGCAUUUCAGGAGUGACACCUGCAAAAAAGUUAACAAGAGCAAAUGAGCUAAAGGUUAAAAUAAAGGCUUUGCAUUUCAAAUAUUGGAACUGGAGCAACCAACAAGCAAAACUCUACCAAUAUCAACCUCUUCAUUCUUGCCUUUCAUCUCACCAAGUGAUAGGUGUCAGUGGCUGCUGGUUUAUGUGAACAGAGAAGAAUUUUUCCUGAAACCUCUUCUGCUUGCUGGUAUUCGGAUUUUUGUCAGCAAAUAGGCUUCCAGAGUAUCAGAACAUUUCUGUCUUUGCAAAGCCGAAUUCAUAGAAGCUGGAGCUAAUAAAGUUAUGGCCUGUUUAAUA